CAAAAGUUUUAUUCUAGCUUAAAAAUUAUAUUUAAUUUUGUUUUACAUGUAAGCUUUAGCACGAUUCCCUUUUUGUCCUAUAAGGACAAAAUUUAUAAUUUAAUUCGCAGUAAAGAAAUUUAAUUAUCAGUGUUGGCUGGAUUUAGGAAUAAUUAAGAAUACCGAUAAAUUUUGUGCCAGCCGUCGCGGUUAUACAGGGGGUAUAAUAUAAUUUUUUCGGGUUUAGUUAACUUUGAAUUUUAAUUUUAAUUCGGGAUUUAUUAGGUGAAAUUUUAAAUUUUGAUGAAAAUUUAUUUUUUUUGGUAAGGCUAGGAAAUUCUUUAUUUAAACUAGGAUUAGAGACCCUAUUAUUUUGAACUUAAAUUAUAUUCCUGGAUUAAUAAAAGUUAUGUUCUUGAAAAUUAAAGAUUUUGGCGGUAUUUUAGUCCAUUCAGAGGAACCUGUCCUGUAAUCGAUGAUCCACGUUUUAUCAUACUUUUUUUAAAAGUUUAUAUAUCGUCGUAGAUUGAAUAUCUUUGGAGAGUUAAAUAUUCAUGAUUUUAUAAGAUAGGAAAACAGAUCAAGAUAUAGCUUAUAAAAAAGGAGAGAUGGGUUACAAUAAAUUUAUUUAGAAGGAGUAUGCUCUUUAAAGGGGCUGUGAAUACGGAUUUGAAAGUAAUUUUAAUUAAAUUAUUAGAAUGAUUUUGGCUCUAUAAUAUGCACAUAUCGCCCGUCACUUUCACCCCAAGGUGAAAUAAGUCGUAACAAAGUAGGCUUACUGGAAGGUGAGCCUGGCAAGUC
rnacentral:ncRNA from 1 species